rnacentral:rRNA from 1 species
UAGGGAAUCUUCCGCAAUGGGCGAAAGCCUGACGGAGCAACGCCGCGUGAGUGAUGAAGGUCUUCGGAUCGUAAAACUCUGUUAUUAGGGAAGAACAAAUGUGUAAGUAACUAUGCACGUCUUGACGGUACCUAAUCAGAAAGCCACGGCUAACUACGUGCCAGCAGCCGCGGUAAUACGUAGGUGGCAAGCGUUAUCCGGAAUUAUUGGGCGUAAAGCGCGCGUAGGCGGUUUUUUAAGUCUGAUGUGAAAGCCCACGGCUCAACCGUGGAGGGUCAUUGGAAACUGGAAAGCUUGAGUGCAGAAGAGGAAAGUGGAAUUCCAUGUGUAGCGGUGAAAUGCGCAGAGAUAUGGAGGAACGCCAGUGGCGAAGGCGACUUUCUGGUCUGUAACUGACGCUGAUGUGCGAAAGCGUGGGGAUCAAACAGG